rnacentral:rRNA from 1 species
CCUACGGGAGGCAGCAGUGAGGAAUAUUGGUCAAUGGGCGGGAGCCUGAACCAGCCAAGUCGCGUGAGGGAAGACGGUCCUACGGAUUGUAAACCUCUUUUGCCGGGGAGCAACGGGGUCCUUGCGAGGGCCCGAUGAGAGUACCCGGAGAAAAAGCAUCGGCUAACUCCGUGCCAGCAGCCGCGGUAAUACGGGGGAUGCGAGGGUACUCGGGUUUUAUUGGGUUUAAAGGGUGCGUGGGCGGGCUGUAAAUUCGGCGGUCAAAUGUCGGGGCUCAACCCAGACUUGCCGUUGAAACUGGCGGCCUCGAGUGGGCGAGAAGUAUGCGGAAUGCGUGGUGUAGCGGUGAAAUGCAUAGAUAUCACGCAGAACUCCGAUUGCGAAGGCAGCAUACCGGCGCCCGACUGACGCUGAGGCACGAAAGCGUGGGUAUCGAACAGGAUUAGAUACCCUAGUAGUC